GUAGGUGGCUAGCGUUGUCCGGAAUUAUUGGGCGUAAAGCGCGCGCAGGCGGUCCUUUAAGUCUGAUGUGAAAGCCCACGGCUCAACCGUGGAGGGUCAUUGGAAACUGGGGGACUUGAGUACAGAAGAGGAAAGCGGAAUUCCAAGUGUAGCGGUGAAAUGCGUAGAGAUUUGGAGGAACACCAGUGGCGAAGGCGGCUUUCUGGUCUGUAGCUGACGCUGAGGCGCGAAAGCGUGGGGAGCAAACAGGGAUUAGAUACCCUGGUAGUCCACGCCGUAAACGAUGAGUGCUAAGUGUUAGGGGGGUUUCCGCCCCCUUAGUGCUGCAGCUAACGCAUUAAGCACUCCGCCUGGGGAGUACGGCCGCAAGGCUG
rnacentral:rRNA from 1 species